UACGAAGGGUGCAAGCGUUGUUCGGAAUCAUUGGGCGUAAAGGGCUCGUAGGCGGUCUGUCACGUCGGGAGUGAAAACUCAGGGCUUAACCCUGAGCCUGCUUCCGAUACGGGCAGACUAGAGGUAUGCAGGGGAGAACGGAAUUCCUGGUGUAGCGGUGAAAUGCGCAGAUAUCAGGAGGAACACCGGUGGCGAAGGCGGUUCUCUGGGCAUUACCUGACGCUGAGGAGCGAAAGUGUGGGGAGCGAACAGG
rnacentral:rRNA from 1 species